CACACACACACACACACACACACACACACAACCAAAGAUAUAUUAACUCUAUCCCUUCAAAGCAGUUUGCAGCUUAACAUGGCAAUGAGAAGUUGGCUUUGAAGUUUGGUGAGCAUUCACAUGGCCUCUGUGAUAAAGCACACUCGCAGAGAGAUGAGCAUCAGCCACUGAAGAGCCUGACAUUCAUUUUCAAGUUUAAAUAUAGUUCAUGUAUUUAUAGAGAGCAGAGAGGAGAAACGCCUUCACAGGUCCGACGCUGCUCAAUUUGAAUGACGGAGACUUUCACGAUCUGUGCGCGGACCCUUGAUGCUGCUCUGACCAGUGGCUGAGAAGAUGCACCAGUCAUGAGAUUAACUGCAGCCCUCUGCCAAUCUACUUAGCUGAAGAGAACUUGAAUCCAUCGAAAGUGGCUCCCGGGGGUUGUUAAGACAAACAGCUCGGAGCUGUUGAAACUUGUGCAGAGUCUCUCAUCAGGCAUUUUCCGGGCAUUGGAUGGCCUCCCUGGCACUUGUCUAAACAGGCCGGUGUGAGCAGGUCCAAGAGAACACACCUCGUAUUCUCUCUCCCAGAUCUCAUGCCUGCUGAUGAGGGUAAAAGGGGGCUGUGGAGUGGUAGAGGAGGAGGGGUUGAUUUGACCUGCAGGUGUUUCCCCGUGAGCACCAAGACCUCUCCACAGGUCGAUAAUGCACACACUAAUGGCUGUGAAGUGACUGGCCAGGAAUGAGAAAUAGCCCUCAUCAGUUAGGGUAAUGGUGUCCCUGGGCUCUCUCAGCCCAUUCAAGGGGAAUACUGUCAGAUCUGUGGGCUUUCUGUGUGUACCUGCUCAUGUUAAUUACAGACAAUCUUAUGUUUCAUCGGGCCAAUCCCUUGGUCGUAUAUCAUCCUUAUGAGGGUAGCAGAAGAGAGUGAGGAUUAAUAAAAUAAGGAUAAACUCUUGAAAGUGAAGUGUGUAGAAAGGCACAAUCACCAUGUGUGUGACUUGUUUAUUCAUUGUAACAUUGCAUGCAUAAGCUUUCAGGUUCCAAGUAAAAAAACAACAACUGGUGAGUUAGUUCCUUGCUCUAAUGAUGCAUGAUAGUGAAGAUGAAAUAGAAAUUAAAAGCCAGGCACAACUUCACUCAUCCUGUGUAAAACAUUUUGUCUUUAAAGUCAACAAGUUCAAUAACUUCAGCUUUGUUUGAAUUCAGGAGUAAAAAAUAAAAAGGUCAUCCAUUCCUUUAAACCUUUAAGA